AUUGAGACACUCCAUCCUUGAGGAUAAGGCCAAAGUUCCAACCUGGACUCCCUCCAAAUUAGUCAUUCUCCUUCGAAAGCUCCUGAGGAAGAAGGCUUGCAGCCGUUAUGGUGUCAAAGGAAACAUCAGGCAAUGCCUCUUUUUUGAUUCCAUUGACUGGGAAGCACUGGAAAACGGGAGACUGCCACCCCCAUUCCAGCUAGAAGCUUUGCAGCAACCGGCUGUGAAUAAUGAAGGGCGUCAAAUGAACAACUUGUUAUUUUUGAACAACAGUGUCCCAACAGGAGUUAAGAUCAUUGAAGGGUUUUCCUAUCAGAGUCCCAGCUGGCAGGAGUGACCCACAAUAUCGCACAUUAUCCUUUGCAUCCACAGUGUACCAUCAAAUGUCACCAUCAAAUGUCUAUCAACAUCAUUUGACCAAGGCCCCACCUAUUCUGUUGUAUUGCAUCAUCUGCCUCAUACCUUCUGCUCUGUCUCCAACUUACCCCAUCUAAUUGUGCCAUCACCUCCUAUAGAAGAAACAUCUGCUCUGUCUGACUAUGCGGUCUGUUAAACUGACCCUGUUAUUUCCAUCUGCCCUUACUGUCUACUCCAACUCAGUGGGUCAUCUUUAAUCUGUGUCAUUUACUCCAUCAAACAAUGCUACCACCUUCUCCAUCUGCAAUUGACACAGAUUACACCUUAACAUACUGUUGCCCCUUCUACCAUCUGAUCAUUUCACUGUGCCAUUAAGACUUAAGACAUUAAGACUACCAAAACACAAGUAUAAUCUGUCUGUACCAUCUAAGAUGCCCUUCCAUCAAAUCCAUCUAACAUAACAGAUUCUUUUUCAUUCUUUGUAUCCACUUUGAGUGUAACAUCUACUUAACCAACUAAUCUACUUACUCUCUAAGUUUAUGUCUGUUUUAUCUAUAACAUCUUUAAUCUGUGUCAUCUACUUUAUCAAUGCUACUAUCUUUUCCAUCUGCAAUUAACAUCUGUCCCAUAACAUCGGCACCUUCUACCAUCUGAUUCAUAUGGCAUUAACAUCAACUGCUCAGGGACCUUGCCAUCUGCACUACCUGUUCUAGUUAUAGCAGCCUUAUCAUCUAUGUGGCUGAAUUUUUUUUUUAAAAAUCCCUUUUUCCCAUAGUAUAUAUUUAAUUCUAUCCCUUAUCCUCACUUAAUAUACCACCUUUCUGCCCAAAAUCAUAUUCCAUCACCACACUCAAUUUGCCACUUCUCAUUUUUUUCUAGACUAACAUACU